rnacentral:rRNA from 1 species
UGAGGAAUAUUGGUCAAUGGGCGGGAGCCUGAACCAGCCAAGUCGCGUGAAGGAAGAAGGCGCCAGGCGUCGUAAACUUCUUUUGUCGGGGAACAAAGGGCGCCACGCGUGGCGUUGUGAGUGUACCCGAAGAAAAAGCAUCGGCUAACUCCGUGCC